UACGAAGGGUGCUAGCGUUGUUCGGAGUCACUGGGCGUAAAGCGUGCGUAGGCGGCCAUUCAAGCCAGAGGUGAAAGCCUGGAGCUUAACUCCAGAAUUGCCUUUGGAACUGUAUGGCUAGAGUGUCGGAGGGGAUAGCGGAAUUUCUAAUGUAGCGGUGAAAUGCGUAGAUAUUAGAAGGAACACCGGUGGCGAAGGCGGCUAUCUGGACGACAACUGACGCUGAGGCACGAAAGCGUGGGGAGCAAACAGG
rnacentral:rRNA from 1 species